rnacentral:rRNA from 1 species
UACGUAGGGUGCGAGCGUUAAUCGGAAUUACUGGGCGUAAAGCGUGCGCAGGCGGUUCGUUAAGUCAGAUGUGAAAGCCCCGGGCUCAACCUGGGAACUGCAUUUGAAACAGGCGGGCUUGAGUAUGGCAGAGGGGGGUGGAAUUCCGCGUGUAGCAGUGAAAUGCGUAGAUAUUGGGAGGAACACCAGUGGCGAAGGCGGCUCACUGGACCGGAACUGACGCUGAGGCGCGAAAGCGUGGGGAGCAAACAGG